CACACUUCGUCAGUUUUCCCAUUCUCUCUGGCGACCCAUUUUCAUCCUCACUCUAUCUCCGAAAGAACUGACAACCCAUUUUCUGUCUGGCUCUUCCCCGAAACCCUACCCCUUUUCUCUUUCUCUCCCGCUCUCUGUUCACGGCCACCACCGCCUCCCUCUCCUCUGCUCACUCCCUUACUGUCUCUCUCUCCCUCAUUAACCGCUGGCAAGCUCUCUCUCUCUCUCUCUCUCUCUCUAAAACCCUCUAUGUCUCUCUCUGGAAUUGACGUAGAUGAAGUCUAUGCCACUGCACCACAAUUUCGAUGAUAGAGCCUCCCCAAUCGCCAAACCCUAGCUCCGGCAAGCCUCCAAGGAGAACGCGCCUCCGCCUUCAGAUCUAACUAUACGGCCACUAAGUCCAACCAGCACAGGAUCGUCAAAACCCUGGAGGUAAGCUAGUGUACCAGACUAACACAGACACAGAUUUGGAGCUUUUAGAGGUUUGGUGAAACAACACAGACGCAGCAAAUGGCUUCUAUCAACCUCUAUUGCUCCCCAAUGGCUCUCUUCCCUUCUCAGAAUAUGUUUUUGAAUAUGAUAGAGAUGAAAUUGCGAAUCUGUGAAGUGAGAAUCCAUGGCUUAGUGAAGAAAUGGUUCUAAGAUUGGGUAUUUGAAUCAAGAGCUAUGGUUAAUAUGGUCGAAUUGAUAUGAUAUGCUUCACUCAGCUGGGCAUUUGCUAGAUGUAUGUGUGUAUGAAGAAUGUCCACGCAAAGGCUACCAUUUCCCUCAAGGACUAAGAACACUUCAGCUGUGUGCUUUGGAUUGAAAGAGAUAAAAGGAUUUUUGAAGUCUAUAUAGGUGCAGUGGUGGAAAAGCUAGCUUUGGGAGAGACUUGGGUUCUGGGAAACUUUUUAUGGCUUCUGUUUAUGGGGAACUUCAAACCUACACUCUUUCUUCUAUAAUCAUUUCAUGGAAAGCAGCUGUAUUUUAUAGGUUGUCGCUUGAUUAGGUUGAUUUGUUGGCAGUUUAUCUUGUCUUGUUUGUUGUCUUUCUGCCUUCUAUUGUGAUUUGUUCAUGCGGAGUCCUUGUUCACUUUGUUGUAUCAUGUUAGUUUUUUAGGCAUUUCUUGAGGUGUUAAAGAAAUGAUUAAAGACACUUUUAGAUUUGUAACGGACAAUUACAAUUCCAAGCCAGAAAGGGUUAAUGCUCAAUUUCAAUCACUGGUCAUAUAGUAGUACCAGUGAAGGAAACCUCCAAAGCAGACAAAAGAUGGAGUUGCUUCUAAUGAAGAUAGUUUUACUGAUGUGUCAAGUGUAAGUGACGUCAUCUUAUUGUUUACUUUCGUCGUCUUCCAGUCUAAUAUUUUUUUUUUAAUCUAGAGAAAGCAUAUGGCAAUGGAAGAAUGGGUAGAAAAUCCCCACGCUGAAACAACAUUUUCAUUGAUCUCUUGGAACAUUUCUCUUAACCCAGAUUUCAUUGAUCUUUUUCGACAUGCUUAAUGUCUACAGGAUGUAUAGUGAGCUUGUAUCUAGUACUAUUGCUGAAGGGGGGCCUUUCGCUUCUAAAACAUCCUAUGUAAAAUAUUGUAGUCAUUGUGGUUGCUUGCAUCCCAAUCUGGUUUAUCACCACUUGUGCAUUUAUAAUAUAAAGUAAUACCUCUGGGUAUGGUUUCCCUGUAAUCUUUUUUGUUUUCUGAUUAAGAGUUUGGUUGUCUGCAGUCAAUUGGUGUGAGUGUCCAUGUAACCAAUGAUGAGAAGGUAUGGAUCUAGAAGAUUCUAAAUUCAUCUGUGUGGAAGUCGAUAGCUU